AGAGUUUGAUCAUGGCUCAGAAUGAACGCUGGCGGCGCGCCUAAUACAUGCAAGUCGAGCGAGAAGACGUAGCAAUACGUUUGUAAAGCGGCGAACGGGUGAGGAAUACAUGGGUAACCUACCCUUGAGUGGGGAAUAACUAGCCGAAAGGUUAGCUAAUACCGCGUACGCUCCUUGGACUUCGGUUCAGGGAGGAAAGCGCUACCGUGGGUAGCGCGCUCUUGGAUGGGCUCAUGUCCUAUCAGCUUGUUGGUGAGGUAACGGCUCACCAAGGCUUCGACGGGUAGCUGGUCUGAGAGGACGAUCAGCCACACUGGCACUGCGACACGGGCCAGACUCCUACGGGAGGCAGCAGUAAGGAAUAUUGCGCAAUGGGCGAAAGCCUGACGCAGCGACGCCGCGUGGGGGAUGAAGGUCUUCGGAUUGUAAACCCCUUUCGGGAGGGAAGAUGGAAUGGGGUAACCCAUUCGGACGGUACCUCCAGAAGCAGCCACGGCUAACUUCGUGCCAGCAGCCGCGGUAAUACGAAGGUGGCAAGCGUUAUUCGGAUUUACUGGGCGUACAGGGAGCGUAGGCGGGUUCGGUAAGCCCUCUGUGAAAUCUUCAGGCUUAACCUGGAAAAGUCGGAGGGGACUGCCGGGCUAGAGGACGGGAGAGGAGCGCGGAAUUCCCGGUGUAGCGGUGAAAUGCGUAGAGAUCGGGAGGAAGGCCGGUGGCGAAGGCGGCGCUCUGGAACGUUUCUGACGCUGAGGCUCGAAAGCGUGGGGAGCAAACAGGAUUAGAUACCCCAGUAGUCC
rnacentral:rRNA from 1 species